rnacentral:rRNA from 1 species
AGUACUUUCAGCGGGGAGGAAGGCGUGUGAGGUUAAUAACCUCAUCGAUUGACGUUACCCGCAGAAGAAGCACCGGCUAACUCCGUGCCAGCAGCCGCGGUAAUACGGAGGGUGCAAGCGUUAAUCGGAAUUACUGGGCGUAAAGCGCACGCAGGCGGUCUGUCAAGUCGGAUGUGAAAUCCCCGGGCUCAACCUGGGAACUGCAUUCGAAACUGGCAGGCUAGAGUCUUGUAGAGGGGGGUAGAAUUCCAGGUGUAGCGGUGAAAUGCGUAGAGAUCUGGAGGAAUACCGGUGGCGAAGG